rnacentral:rRNA from 1 species
AGUCGAGCGAAUCGACGGGAGCUUGCUCCCUGAGAUUAGCGGCGGACGGGUGAGUAACACGUGGGCAACCUGCCUAUAAGACUGGGAUAACUUCGGGAAACCGGAGCUAAUACCGGAUACGUUCUUUUCUCGCAUGAGAGAAGAUGGAAAGACGGUUUACGCUGUCACUUAUAGAUGGGCCCGCGGCGCAUUAGCUAGUUGGUGAGGUAAUGGCUCACCAAGGCGACGAUGCGUAGCCGACCUGAGAGGGUGAUCGGCCACACUGGGACUGAGACACGGCCCAGACUCCUACGGGAGGCAGCAGUAGGGAAUCUUCCGCAAUGGACGAAAGUCUGACGGAGCAACGCCGCGUGAACGAAGAAGGCCUUCGGGUCGUAAAGUUCUGUUGUUAGGGAAGAACAAGUACCAGAGUAACUGCUGGUACCUUGACGGUACCUAACCAGAAAGCCACGGCUAACUACGUGCCAGCAGCCGCGGUAAUACGUAGGUGGCAAGCGUUGUCCGGAAUUAUUGGGCGUAAAGCGCGCGCAGGUGGUUCCUUAAGUCUGAUGUGAAAGCCCACGGCUCAACCGUGGAGGGUCAUUGGAAACUGGGGAACUUGAGUGCAGA